UACGGGGGGGGCAAGCGUUGUUCGGAAUUACUGGGCGUAAAGGGCUCGUAGGCGGCCAACUAAGUCAGACGUGAAAUCCCUCGGCUUAACCGGGGAACUGCGUCUGAUACUGGAUGGCUUGAGGUUGGGAGAGGGAUGCGGAAUUCCAGGUGUAGCGGUGAAAUGCGUAGAUAUCUGGAGGAACACCGGUGGCGAAGGCGGCAUCCUGGACCAACACUGACACUGAAAAGCGAAAGCCAGGGGAGCAAACGGG
rnacentral:rRNA from 1 species